CCCCACUGUUGUGGCCCUCGGCGCUCGCUCGAGCCGGCUCUCGCCUCGACCCCGCACGGCGUGCCUGCCCGCCUUUCCUUUCGCUCUCCGUCGCUUUUCUUCCCUCCAGCACCCUCAGCCGCCUCCGCGGACGCCACCUCUGGAGUGCCGACAGCUCGACGGAAGUGACGUCACAUGUGGCCCUGUCUCCGUAGCAACGGAGACGCUAUUUCUGCUUUGGCUCCGAAGGAGGGGUUUGGGGUUCCCGGAGUGAUUUCCUCUGCUCGCCCGGAAACCGAGGCGCGCUCGCGGAUCCCUCAGGGUGAGCGUUGCGAUGUGCCUGGGAACGACCCAGACAUGGCGCCGCGUCCCGCCCGUCGACGGCCUUUGGCUCUCGGCCCGGGGGAGCAGGGUUGUCAGCUGAGGACUCCGGGUGGACCCUGGAAAGGGUGAGGGACUCGCGGCCUGGCCGCGGAUCCUGCCCGCCCGGUGCCCAGUCGCCGGAGGUGUCCAGAGUAGAAGUCAAAGACUAAACUCGCCCCAGACCCCUCCCGCGGGCGCCACGCUGCCUCCCACACCGCCGCCGCCUACACUUCUCCCCAGCCGCUUCGCGCACGGCAAGGAGACGCUCGGUGACGCGCAGCGGUUGGGAAAUUGAACUGGCAAACGAACAGUUCGUGAAGACUUGAACGUCUUAGCAGGGUUUGUUGUUAUUUUAGGAGACUCGUUCUCGGGGGGAGGUGGUUGACGACUUUGAGGCUCAUUUCUGAGUGAGAAGGAGCGCUGAUUAGGCUUCGCUGUUAUACCCAUGGGAACCGAAUUGUGAUUCGGAUUUUAAAGGAUGAGAAUUACUGACCGUUUUAAUCUAUUCAGUAGAAAGUGAAUCUGAAGACUCGUCUUUCACAUCCUCAAGGAAACCCAAGCUUGUUAAUUGCCUUAACUGUAUUAGAUGCUGAGGAGCUGAGUCAAAGUGACAUCAUUUUUUUAACAGGCUGGUAUUGACUCAGAAUUCUGUUCCUUUCCAAAAAUGCGCCAUUUGAUGAUGGAAUGUUCGUCCCAAAAGUUCCUCCUCGUUCUAAUACAGGCUUGGAGGCACAGGAAGAGGCAGGCUGUGCGACUUCAACACAGUCUGCAUAACCGGCUCCAGCCCAACUAGCACCUCUUUUUGGUUUUUGCUGGCAGGGUUUCUCUGUGUAACAGUCCUGGCUGUCCUGGAACUCACUCUGUAGACCAGGCUGGCCUCGAACUCACUGAGAUUCACCUGCCUCUACCUCCCAAAAAGUGUGUGGCACUCCAGACUCAGGUGGAUCUCUAUGAUACAAGGACAGUCUAGUGGACUUAGUGAGUUCCACGCCAGCCAGAGCUGGGAGACUUUGUCUGAAAAGGAGGAGGAAGAAAAAAAGGAAAUAAGAAACAAUCUCUUUUAGCUCUAAAAUGCUGUACUAUUUCCUUGACACCAUGCUUUACCUACAACAUUCCUUCCGCCACCACCCCCAAUUUUGAUUGAGAUCUCUUAUUUUGGACUGAAGCACUUAAAUGACCUUUCUGUCCCCAGACUCUAUUUCUGCCAGUCUUACCAUAGGGCAAUUAAUGUUUCCGAAACACUUUUUGUUUUAUCAUUCUCUAUUCCAGCUCCAAUUGAGCUGCAAAGUGAACUCUAUACCUGUGUUCAGUAGCUACAAUUUAUCCCAGAGCUUUGGGUCAGUCUGUCCUUGAGCCAGCUCUUCUGUGUGUAUACUGUUCAUCCAACUUUAUCAUCUGCUGGGUGCUUUCCUGAUCCACCGUAAGAAAUAGAUUCUAAGCCUUGACAUAAACACUAAAACCACACUCAGGAGGCAGAGGCAGGCAGAUCUCUCUGAGUUUGAGGCCAGCCUGAUCUACAGAACAAGUCCCAGGACAGUCAAAGUUGACUGUCUCAAAAAUCAAAGCAGAAAGUUAGUUCUUUGUAACCUAAUGUCCACAUCCACACAGCUGACGUGCAGUGUGCCUUCCUGUGAGGCACAGAAUGGAAACAGUGAUGGAGGUCAAAGGACGAUUUGUGGAGCCUGUUCUCUCCUUCCAGGUGGCCAGACUCUGCACCUUUUCAUUCUAAAUGUUCUAUAGUAAUAGUUUAAAUUGUAACAUCACCAAGAACAAGUUUUUUUGUUUGUUUGGUUUGGUUUUUCAAGACAGGAUUUUUUUUUUGUGUGUGUGUGUGUGUGUGUGUGUGUGUAACCCUGGCUGUCCUGGAACUAGCUCUAUAGGUCAGAUUGGCCUCAAAACUCCCAGAGAUCCCCCUUGCCUGUGCCUCCUCAGUGCUGGAAUUAAAGGCAUGUGCCACCUCUACCCAGCCCCAAGAACAAGUUUUUGAUUUAUUAGGUUAUUUGUCAAAAAGUAUAUGUGCCACAUCCACCAUAUCCACCAGUGCUGAAUAAAGAAGUUGUUCUUAUUUUGUUUUUCUCUUUGAAACAAGGUCUCACUAUGUAAACCAGGCUGGCCUUGAACUCAGAGACCCUUCUGCCUUUGCCCCCCCUAGUGUUGGGAAUUAAAGGUGUGCAACAGUAUGCCUGGCUGGUUUUCAAACCUUAAUAUAAGCCGGGCGGGCGAUGGUGGCGCACGCCUUUAAUCCCAGCACUCGGGAGGCAGAGGCAGGCGGAUCUCUGUGAGUUCGAGACCAGCCUGGUCUACAGAGCUAGUUCCAGGACAGGCUCCAAAGCCACAGAGAAACCCUGUCUCGAAAAACCAAAAUAAUAAUAAUAAUAAUAAUAAUAAUAAUAAUAAUAAUAAACUUAACAUAAGAUCAAUUUUCCUUUUCCUACAUCAGAAGGCAAUUAAUACUCUUUCCCUAAGAUUUGCAUUAACUGAGUUAUGCCAUUCACUUUAUAUUUUAAGGUCAUAUGUAAAGGUCUUAUUGACUGUUUCAUUCUAGUGAAAUUUCAGGUGUUUUGCUUUCAAAGUCAUAUAGCUAACACUGUCCCUGAACUCCUGACCUUUCCAAUUCAUCUCAAGUUAGUCAGUUAUUAUAUGUCCCUUCACAUCCAGCUAUCUUAGGAAUUUUGAAAGUAUUAAGCUUCACCAAGUAGUCACACCUUUAAUCCCAGAAUUUGGGAGGCAGAGGCAGUAAGAUCUCUGAGUUCGAGGCCAGUCUGAUUUACAAAAUGUGUUCCAGGAUUGCCAGAGGUACACAGAGAAAACCUGUCUUGGAAAAUGUAGUGAUAUUUUGUGUUUUAACAAAUAAAGCUUCCCUGAAGAUCAGAGAGUGAAGAGCUUAACCACUAGAGGCCAGGCAAUGGUGGCCAUACCUUUAAUCCCAGCACUAGGGAGGAGGAGACAGGAGCUAAGUGCAGUCUGAGGUUUGGUGAAGAUGGUUGCAGUGUGCACUCUAAGGAGGCAGCCUGAGGACAGGAUCCCCCUUCUGGUCUGAGGAUUUGGGAAAGGUAAAAGGUCUCUCUGCUUCUCUGACCUUUCAGCUUUCAUCCCCUACUAUCUGACUCCAGGUUUUUAUUAUUAAGACCAAUUAGAAUUCAUGCUACAGUGGGGGAAAAAGUAUUAAACUUCCACAAGUACGCACAUUUCUAUAUCUUUUCACUUUCCUAAUUCUCCCCUCUUCCUCUUGCUCCCUCUUUUCCUCCCUCGCCCCUUCUUUCUCCAGGGUCUCACUAUGUAGUUUUGGGUGUCCUGGAACUCGCUAUGCAGACCAGACUAGCCUCUAAUCCACAGAAACCCACUGGGAAUCAAGGGGUGCACCACUAUGCCUGGCUUCUAUUCCUUUUUCUAAUAAUACUCUUUGAGAGUAUUUUAUUGUAUCUUGAAUAACAUCAUGACUUUAUAUUCACAUAUAUAAUCAUGUAUUAUAUUGAUGACAUCCUUUUCCUAAAAACAUAGAAGCCCCCCCCCCAAAAAAAAAACUCA